GGGUAUAUAGCUCAGUGGUAAGAGUGUGUACUUAGUAUGCACAAGGUCCUGAGUUCAAUCCCCAGUACCUCCA
rnacentral:tRNA from 1 species